GAUGAAGAACGUAGCAAAAUGCGAUACUUGGUGUGAAUUGCAGAAUCCCGUGAACCAUCGAGUUUUUGAACGCAAGUUGCGCCCGAAGCCUUUUGGCCGAGGGCACGUCUGCCUGGGCGUCACGCAUCGCGUCGCCCCCCACAAUUCUCCGUAAAGGGAACAUGUGUUUUGGGGGCGGAUAUUGGUCUCCCGUGCUCAUGGCGUGGUUGGCAGAAAUAGGAGUCCUUUCGAUGGACGCACGAACUAGUGGUGGUCGUAAAAACCCUCGUCUUUUGUUUCGUGCUGUUGCUCGCAAGGUAAACUCUUUAAAAACCCCAAUGUGUCGUCUCUUGACGACGCUUCGACCGCGACCCCAGGUCAGGCGGGACUACCCGCUGAGUUUAAGCAUAUCAAUAAGCGGAGGA
rnacentral:misc_RNA from 1 species